GGGUCGUUAGCUCAGUCGGUAGAGCAGUUGACUUUUAAUCAAUUGGUCGCUGGUUCGAAUCCAGCACGACCCACCA
rnacentral:tRNA from 110 species